rnacentral:tRNA from 1 species
GCCAGGUAGCUCAGUUGGUUAGAGCAUUGUCCUGAUACUGCAAGGUUGUGGGUUCAAUUCCCAGGCAGGGCA